GUAUCGCCCGACAUAAUUGUCGGGCGUGGAUUGAAAC
rfam:Burkholderiales bacterium RIFCSPLOWO2_02_FTLL_57_36 rifcsplowo2_02_scaffold_113, whole genome shotgun sequence.